UUCAGUUAAAGCUUCGGCGGUCAGAGAUGGGCAUGCGUAACAUUAGCUGGUUGGUGAGGUAACAGCUCACCAAGGCUACGAUGUUUAGGGGGUCUGAGAGGAUGGUCCCCCACACUGGUACUGAGACACGGACCAGACUCCUACGGGAGGCAGCAGUGAGGAAUAUUGGUCAAUGGGCGAAAGCCUGAACCAGCCAUGCCGCGUGAAGGAUGACGGCCCUAUGGGUUGUAAACUUCUUUUAUACGGGAAGAAACCCCUCUACGUGUAGGGGGCUGACGGUACCGUACGAAUAAGCAUCGGCUAACUCCGUGCCAGCAGCCGCGGUAAUACGGAGGAUGCAAGCGUUAUCCGGAUUUAUUGGGUUUAAAGGGUGCGUAGGCGGAAAAUUAAGUCAGUGGUGAAAUCCUGCAGCUUAACUGUAGAAUUGUCAUUGAUACUGGUUUUCUUGAAUACAGUUGAGGUAGGCGGAAUGAGUAAUGUAGCGGUGAAAUGCUUAGAUAUUACUCAGAACACCAAUUGCGAAGGCAGCUUACUAAACUGUGAUUGACGCUGAGGCACGAAAGCGUGGGGAGCGAACAGGAUUAGAUACCCUGGUAGUCCACGCCGUAAACGAUGAUCACUCGUUGUUGGCAAUACACCGUCAGCGACUGAGCGAAAGUAUUAAGUGAUCCACCUGGGGAGUACGAUUGCAAGAUUGAAACUCAAAGGAAUUGACGGGGGCCCGCACAAGCGGAGGAACAUGUGGUUUAAUUCGAUGAUACGCGAGGAACCUUACCUGGGCUUAAAUGCAUAACGACGGAUCGGGAAACUGGUCUUUCUUCGGACGGAAUGCAAGGUGCUGCAUGGCUGUCGUCAGCUCGUGCCGUGAGGUGUCGGGUUAAGUCCCAUAACGAGCGCAACCCUCAUCAUUAGUUGCCAGCGGGUAAUGCCGGGGACUCUAAUGAAACUGCCGGUGUAAACCGAGAGGAAGGCGAGGAUGACGUCAAGUCAGCACGGCCCUUAUGUCCAGGGCUACACACGUGUUACAAUGGUCAGUACAAAGGGCAGCUACCAGGCAACUGGAUGCUAAUCUCAAAAGCUGGUCACAGUUCGGAUCGGAGUCUGCAACUCGACUUCGUGAAGUUGGAUUCGCUAGUAAUCGCGCAUCAGCCAUGGCGCGGUGAAUACGUUCCCGGGCCUUGUACACACCGCCCGUCAAGCCAUGGAAGCCGGGGGUACCUGAAGUUCGUAACCGAGAGGAUCG
rnacentral:rRNA from 1 species